AUUGAACGCUGGCGGCAGGCCUAACACAUGCAAGUCGAACGAGUGGCGGACGGGUGAGUAAUGUCUGGGAAACUGCCCGAUGGAGGGGGAUAACUACUGGAAACGGUAGCUAAUACCGCAUACCAUCGGAUGUGCCCAGAUGGGAUUAGCUAGUAGGUGGGGUAACGGCUCACCUAGGCGACGAUCCCUAGCUGGUCUGAGAGGAUGACCAGCAAAACGGGAACUGAGACACGGUCCAGACUCCUACGGGAGGCAGCAGUAGGGAAUCUUCGGCAAUGGACGAAAGUCUGACCGAGCAACGCCGCGUGAGUGAAGAAGGUUUUCGGGUUGUAAAGUACUUUCAGCGAGGAGGCGUUACUCGCAGAAGAAGCACCGGCUAACUCCGUGCCAGCAGCCGCGGUAAUUC
rnacentral:rRNA from 1 species